rnacentral:rRNA from 1 species
GACGCACGCUGGCGGCGUGCUUAACACAUGCAAGUCGAACGGUAAGGCCCUUCGGGGUACACGAGUGGCGAACGGGUGAGUAACACGUGGGUGAUCUGCCCUGCACUUCGGGAUAAGCCUGGGAAACUGGGUCUAAUACCGGAUAGGACCACUGCCUGCAUGGGUGGUGGUGGAAAGCUUUUGCGGUGUGGGAUGGGCCCGCGGCCUAUCAGCUUGUAGGUGGGGUGAUGGCCUACCAAGGCGACGACGGGUAGCCGGCCUGAGAGGGUGACCGGCCACACUGGGACUGAGAUACGGCCCAGACUCCUACGGGAGGCAGCAGUGGGGAAUAUUGCACAAUGGGCGUAAGCCUGAUGCAGCGACGCCGCGUGAGGGAUGACGGCCUUCGGGUUGUAAACCUCUUUCAGCACCGACGAAGCGCAAGUGACGGUAGGUGCAGAAGAAGGACCGGCCAACUACGUGCCAGCCGCCGCGGUAA